GAUGAAGAACGUAGCGAAAUGCGAUAAGUAAUGUGAAUUGCAGAAUUCAGUGAAUCAUCGAAUCUUUGAACGCACAUUGCGCCCAUUAGUAUUCUAGUGGGCAUGCCUGUUCGAGCGUCAUUAAGUCCACUUAAGCCCUGCUUAGUGUUGGGAGACUGCUCCAGCGGUGCUACCCUGUAGCUACCCUGCAGCUCCUCAAAAACAGCGGCGGAGUUGUGGUAUCCUCUGAGCUUAGUAACUUGUUCUAGCUUUCGAGUACACCACUUCCCCUGCCGUAAAACCCUUAAUUUUUAAUGGUUGACCUCGGAUCAGGUAGGAAUACCCGCUGAACUUAAGCAUAUCAAUAAGCGGAGGA
rnacentral:misc_RNA from 1 species